GAGAGAGAGAGAGAGAGAGAGAGAGAGAGAUUGAGAGAGAGAGAGUCUGGCACGGGCUUUGGAAACCUCAAAGCUUGUCCUCAGUGACAUACUUCCUCCAACAAGGCCACACCUACUUGAACAGGGCCACACCUCUUAAUCCUCAAAGAGCUCUGCUCGCUAGUGACUAACCAUUCAAAUAUAGGAGCCUUGGGGGCAUUUUCAUUCAAACCACCACAAUAUUGUCCUCUGAAAUUUCUACUGUUUAGAAAUUGCUGCAUAUAUUUGAGGUGCAGAUGAUGUUUUGAUAUACAUAUAUGCGGUGAAGUAAAAUAAUUGCUACAGAAAACAAUGCAUGUAUCCAUUAUCUCAUAUUAUUCUUUGUCUUCAUCUGACUCUACUUCCCCAUCACCUCAGCACAUACAUUGUAUAAGGGUGAGCCCUCGUCUCUCUCUCAUCCCAGGAAUGGGGAGAUCAAUGUCUCCUUGAAGGAUGUUGGGGUCCAGGAAUCACCCACAAGCCACAUGAACACAGAUCUCAAUCAGAAAAGGAUGGUUUAUUGAGACAUGCCCCAGGACUGGUCAACCAGGGCUGUGGUCCAGAUUCAAGAAUUGAACUAUGACUCUGAGAGGGAACCAAUGUUAUCUCCGGAACCCUGAUCCCAAGCAGAUGAGAAAGAAGCCUAUGUCUGAAAGGAAUACCGCAUCAAAGAAGUCUCAUCCCUCACCAAAGAAACAUGUCUUUGAAAGAGACAAAGUCCACUACAAAACCUACAACCUUUGAAAAUCAAAAGAAUAAAUGGGCAUCGGGUGAUCUGUUUCCAACUGAACAAUCUCCAACAGAACUUCUACACCCACAGCUCAGUGAUCAUAGCACAGGAGGGGAUGGAAAGACGGUCAGAGCCAGAGGAAAAGGAAGUUUGCUGUGAGCUUGUGCCUGCGAAAAAUGUCAGAGAAGCUACACUUGUGGAGUCUCCUCAACAUGGCUGCCUCAACAAGACCUAGACAAGUCUGGCACCAAUAAACUCCAUGACAUGAAAGGCAGGAAUCCUCAUGGGCAUUCAACUCUUCUCAAAGAGAUACAGGCAACUAAGGAAGUAUGAGGAUGGAGGAAUUGUCUACCCUGGGGAAGAGCACACCAAUUGGAUAUCUAAUACCAAGUCACCAGCCCUGAAAUUGCACACACACCAGUUACAUGUGGACCAAGGAGCUAGUGUUUAUAAAUUUGGAUAUAUUUAAGAAUGUGCAUUUGGUUUUUUGGAGGGGUUGUGUAUAA